rnacentral:rRNA from 1 species
UACGUAGGGGGCAAGCGUUGUCCGGAAUCAUUGGGCGUAAAGAGCGUGUAGGCGGCUCGAUAAGUCUGCUGUGAAAGUCCAGGGCUCAACCCUGGAAGGCCGGUGGAAACUGUCGGGCUAGAGUCCGGAAGAGGCGAGUGGAAUUCCCGGUGUAGCGGUGAAAUGCGCAGAUAUCAGGAGGAACACCAAUAGCGAAGGCAGCUCGCUGGGACGGUACUGACGCUAAGGCGCGAAAGCGUGGGGAGCGAACAGG